rnacentral:rRNA from 1 species
UAACUUCGGGAAACCGGAGCUAAUACCGGAUAAUAUAUUGAACCGCAUGGUUCAAUAGUGAAAGACGGUUUUGCUGUCACUUAUAGAUGGAUCCGCGCCGCAUUAGCUAGUUGGUAAGGUAACGGCUUACCAAGGCAGCGAUGCGUAGCCGACCUGAGAGGGUGAUCGGCCACACUGGAACUGAGACACGGUCCAGACUCCUACGGGAGGCAGCAGUC